UCGGAAGGAUCAUUACAGUAUUCUUUUUGCCAGCGCUUAAUUGCGCGGCGAAAAAACCUUACACACAGUGUUUUUUGUUAUUACAAGAACUUUUGCUUUGGUCUGGACUAGAAAUAGUUUGGGCCAGAGGUUACUGAACUAAACUUCAAUAUUUAUAUUGAAUUGUUAUUUAUUUAAUUGUCAAUUUGUUGAUUAAAUUCAAAAAAUCUUCAAAACUUUCAACAACGGAUCUCUUGGUUCUCGCAUCGAUGAAGAACGCAGCGAAAUGCGAUAAGUAAUAUGAAUUGCAGAUUUUCGUGAAUCAUCGAAUCUUUGAACGCACAUUGCGCCCUCUGGUAUUCCAGAGGGCAUGCCUGUUUGAGCGUCAUUUCUCUCUCAAACCUUCGGGUUUGGUAUUGAGUGAUACUCUUAGUCGAACUAGGCGUUUGCUUGAAAUGUAUUGGCAUGAGUGGUACUGGAUAGUGCUAUAUGACUUUCAAUGUAUUAGGUUUAUCCAACUCGUUGAAUAGUUUAAUGGUAUAUUUCUCGGUAUUCUAGGCUCGGCCUUACAAUAUAACAAACAAGUUUGACCUCAAAUCAGGUAGGACUACCCGCUGAACUUAAGCAUA
rnacentral:rRNA from 1 species